rnacentral:rRNA from 1 species
CAAACAGUAAUUCAAAGGGGUUAUUAAGGAAAAACUAGCAAAUUUAUAAAAAAGGAGGGCACAAGUCCAAAAGCCACAAUUUACCGAAAGGUGGUCAAGUUUCAUUAGAUUUAUUUAAUGUUGACAAAGAAUGUAGGCGAUCCUAAGGGAAACCUUUAUAUUUAAACUUCCCGAAGUAAAACAUUUCAUUAGGGAAAGGAAAGGAAAUCAACCGAGACUCCGAAAGUAAUGGCGAGUGAAAUCGGACCAGCCUUUAUUUUUAAAAAUAAAUUUAACAAAAAUACACACCAGAAACCAAAGAAGGUAAAAUAGUCCUGUAUGUUAAAUCUUUUUAAAUUAAUGUUUAAAAAAAUAUUAUUAAAUUAAAAUUUAUUUAAAUAAUGAGUACGACGAGAGUGAACUUGUCGGAAUAUAGGGGAACCAUCCUCUAAGGCUAAGUAUUUAUAAAUUUAGCGAUAGUGAAAAGUACCGUGAGGGAAAGUUUGAAAUAGUUAUGUAAUAUUAGACAUAAAUGAAAUAGUUGAAUUAGUAACUCUAUAAGCAGUCGAAAUUUAUAAUAAUAAAUGACGGCGUACCUUUUGCAUAAUGGGUCAGCAAGUUAAUAGGAGUAGCAAGGUUAAAAGCCUUAGUGAAAGCGACCACACUAACUAGCUAAAAGUAUUUUUAAUUUCAUAGAUAUUAAAAAUAGGGUAUCCUUCAUAGUCAUAAGGCUAAGAAGUUAAAUAUUUUCUAGGAGUAUAGUGAUGGGUAAGUUACUUCUAUUAGACCCGAAGCUAGGUGAUCUUCCUAAGACCAGAUUAUAAUGGAUCGAACGGGUGAAUGUAGCAAAAUUCUCCGAAGAGUUUUAGGAAGCGGUGAAAUGCCAAUCUGACCUAGUGAUAGCUGGUUUUCUACGAAACAUAUGUAAGUAUGACAUCUAAACAAAAUUUAUGGUGGUACAGCACUGAGUUCCCAACUAUUUCUUUUAAAAAGAAAAGUUUAGGUUGCGGGGACGUCGAAAAUCUUACCAAUGGAAGAGAAUCUCGGAAUGACAUAAAUUGAUGUUAGAUAUUCAGACUGCUCAUGCGAAGUUGGGUAGUCAAGACGGAAACAGCCGAGAACACGAAACAAGGUCCCAAAUGAUUUUUAAGUGAAAUGAAGGAAGUAAUAUAUUGAAUGCAGCUGUAAAGUGAGCCUGGUAGUCGCUAUCUUUUAAUAAACGUAAUGUAACAACGUAGCAGCCUUAAAACAAUAGAAUAUUACGCCAAAAAUUUAACGGGUCUCAAAAAAUCAACCGAUAUCGUGUUUAUUUUGAAUAAUAAAAGUUUAAUAUUCAAUAUACAGGUAGUAGAACAUUCAGUAUACUGAUGAUAAAACAGUGUUUCAUUGUUUUUAGGUCACUGAAGAGAGAAUGCUGACAUGAGUAACGUAAAAAGAAGUUAUAAUACUUCUCGCCGAAUACGAAAGGGUUGUAAGGAAAGGUUAAACCACCUUAUGUUAAUGCGGCCUCUAAGGAACAAAACCAAAGUUUUGUCUGAUGAGUAUGAAUUAGAAAGUCCAAAUUUAAAUUAAUUUAUAAAAAGGACCAGGAAAAUAAUAUGUUCAUAACUACCGUACCCUAAACCGACACAGGUUCGUAAGUAGAGUAUACUAAGGCGUAGAGCUAAAAGUUGUUAAGGAACUCGGCAAGUUCUCCUCAUAAGUUUGACGAUAAGAGGAACCCUUUAAAGGGUGGCACAAAAUCGGAGGCCCCGACUGUUUACUAAAAACACAAUUCAGAGCAAUGAUGAAAAAUCAUAGUAUUCUGGAUGAAAUUUGCCCAAUGCCAUUAACAUAAAAGAGGUUAUGGGUAACUGUAACUGAUUGAAAGUCUGGUUAAUAGCGGUCUUAACUAUGAGGAUCCAAAGGUAGCAAAAUAAAUUGGCCAUUAAAUGUGGUCUGGUAUCAAUAGUGUAACGAUGGUCUCACUGUCUCUACAACUUGCUCAGUGAAAUUGAAUUACCCGUGCAGAUGCGGGUUGCCUCCAGGUGGACGGGAAGACCCUAUGCAGCUUUACUGUAGUUAGCUAUCAUAUUGAUCUACAACAACCUUAGUUAAUAGUAAUUAGGGAUGUCGAUGGACGGAAGAUGGAAUACCUUAUGACUUUGGUUGGGUUAAUAUUUACCUUUUUAAGUCAUGUAUCAUAUAUGACUCAAAUUUUUCUUUUGUUUAUUAUAUUCGUAUUCUGUUAUAUAGUGUUAUAUGGUAUGGAGCUUAUAAGGGAUAGGUGGCUAAUUGGCAGUUUGACUGGGGCGGUCGUCUUUGAUAAAGUAGCAAAGUACAUCCAAAGAUAUUUAUUUAUUAUAAGCAAUCUUUUUUUAAAGAUACUAACUAAAAAUCAUAGUAUCUGUAUAAACUAUGGAGAGUAUAAAUUAUUAUAUUUUUAUUAACUUAAGGUAUAGCUAGAAAAUUGAAUGGAAAUCAAUCAACCAAUGUGAAAGGUUGUAAUCGGCGUAAUGGCGGAAAGCAUGCCUAACUGAAAGACUUAGAAGUCGACCAGAUACGUAAGUAGGGCAUAGUGACCCUUCGCUAUAUUAUGGAAUAGACGGGGAUCAAUCGAUAAAAGUUACGCUAGGGAUAACAGGCUGAUAGCUGGUGAGAGUACACAUUGUCCCGGCUGUUUGGCACCUUAAAUACAUUGGGGAGUAUAAAUAGAAAUGUUUAUAUAGUAAUUGGCUAUAUGCUGAAACACCCUUAAGCUUUAAGUACUCAUUUAUUUUUAAAUAAUAAAUUGUAAUAAUCUUAAUGAUUGGGCAAUCAGCAGGGAAGUUACUUAUUUAGGUUAUAGCAACUGUAAAAUUUGUAACCCCUCAACGACUACACGCCAACAUCCAGUAGCUACAUAAAGGUAUUCUUAUGCUGGAUGAAGAUAUAGUCUAAUCUUAAUUUAAAAAUUGAGCUCUCAAUCCUAUUAAUUAUAAAGGUAAGAGGGGGUAUAUUUUUUAUAUACUAAUAUUGCGAUGUCGACUCAACCUAUCCUCCGGGGGUAGAAGCUUGGAAGGGUUCGGCUGUUCGCCGAUUAAAAGGUUACGCGAGUUGGGUUUAAUACGACGUGAGUCAGUAUGGUCCCUAUCUUCUGGAGGGAUAAAUAGUAAAAGGGGGCAGACCUUCUAGUACGAAAGGAUCAAUAGGCUGUGUUUCUCUAGUGUACCAAUUGUAAUUCUCUAUUCUUCAUUUUUUUAAAGAUUAAAGAAAGAUUAAAGCAUAGUUGGGUAGCCACAAACAUGAUAGAUAAGCGCUGAAUGAAUAUUAAGCAGGAAGCUAUCCUCCAGAUACUAUCUUAUUGAUUAUCUUUUUAAUUAAUAUUUUUAUUAAUUUUCUUUUUAAUCAGUGUGAAUAAGAAAUAGAACAUUUCUAAAUAGGAUGCAAAUGAAAGUGCUGUAA